UGGUGGGUAGUUUGACUGGGGCGGUCUCCUCCUAAAGAGUAACGGAGGAGCACGAAGGUUGGCUAAUCCUGGUCGGACAUCAGGAGGUUAGUGCAAUGGCAUAAGCCAGCUUGACUGCGAGCGUGACGGCGCGAGCAGGUGCGAAAGCAGGUCAUAGUGAUCCGGUGGUUCUGAAUGGAAGGGCCAUCGCUCAACGGAUAAAAGGUACUCCGGGGAUAACAGGCUGAUACCGCCCAAGAGUUCAUAUCGACGGCGGUGUUUGGCACCUCGAUGUCGGCUCAUCACAUCCUGGGGCUGAAGUAGGUCCCAAGGGUAUGGCUGUUCGCCAUUUAAAGUGGUACGCGAGCUGGGUUUAGAACGUCGUGAGACAGUUCGGUCCCUAUCUGCCGUGGGCGCUGGAGAACUGAGGGGGGCUGCUCCUAGUACGAGAGGACCGGAGUGGACGCAUCACUGGUGUUCGGGUUGUCAUGCCAAUGGCACUGCCCGGUAGCUAAAUGCGGAAGAGAUAAGUGCUGAAAGCAUCUAAGCACGAAACUUGCCCCGAGAUGAGUUCUCCCUGACUCCUUGAGAGUCCUGAAGGAACGUUGAAGACGACGACGUUGAUAGGCCGGGUGUGUAAGCGCAGCGAUGCGUUGAGCUAACCGGUACUAAUGA
rnacentral:rRNA from 1 species